CAGUAUAAACGUCCACUUGAACGUUGUAAGUUGGCUUACUGUUUACCUGAUCGGCUAACACAUUAGCUUCUCGGCUGGCAUUAACGUUACGCUAGCUAGCUAGCAAACGUUAGCAAGGGAGCUAAAGUAUACAUAUUAUCAAAAUAACAAGAAAAACAUCUGAAAAAAUAACAACACAAAUGUUAGGAUAUUAAACAGUAUAGAGCUCAAUGAAUCCACUAAUUUGGUUAAGUUAGCUGAAUGAGCUGGCUGUGGCAUGUUUGCUAGCUAAUGCUGAUAUGGCUAAGCUAGCUGAGUCACUGUUGCAGGGCCCAGGAACCUAAAAACACCGUAACAGUUACCGAUGGUCAAUAUAAAGAAAACAAGAGCAGUAUGACUUCAGAUAUUAUCUGUAUUAUUUACCUUCGGCUGGGAAUUCUUCAAACUCGUCAUCUUCCUCCAGUAAGCCCAGGUCCACGGUCUGUUUCUUGUCUGACAUGUUCGCUGUGCUGCCGCUGUGUUGCUGUUUGUUAAUGAAUGGCUCUAAAAACGCAGGACUUGUGGGACGCUGGCGCUGUUCGAGCGGGUACAGAUUGCGCAACUGCGCAGGAAAGGACAGAAGUCUGGUGCUGGUGCAAGGCAACUGUUGUACAAAUGACAGAGGCAGAGCAGGCCUUGCAGCUGUGUUUCUGAGACCUCACCACCCCCUAAGAGAUCCUUCUUCCUCGCCAUGAUUUCACAGACCUCCACUUACUCCAUUGUGCCGAGAAACAAAAAAUAAAAGAAACACAAUCGCCUUGUCCUCUUUCUCAUCUUAAUAAGCAGCUCCAAGUUUGAUAAUUACACGUUCAGCCCGCCGCAUGAGUUUCUAUGCAGUGUUCGCAUCAGGGAGAAAGCCAUUGACUCCGCUGUUGAGGGGAGCAACUGU